rnacentral:rRNA from 1 species
UGGGGAAUCUUGCGCAAUGGGCGAAAGCCUGACGCAGCGACGCCGCGUGAGUGAUGAAAGGGCCCUUCGGGUUGUGAAAUGCAUCUGUGGGGAGAGACGAAUAAGUGCAGUCUAAUACGUUGCAUGAUGACGGUAUCUCCUUAGCAAGCACCGGCUAACUCUGUGCCAGCAGCCGCGGUAAGACAGAGGGUGCAAACGUUGUUCGGAAUUACUGGGCGUAAAGCGUGUGUAGGCGGUCUGCUAAGUCGGGUGUGAAAGCCCCGGCGCAACCCGGGAAGGUGCACUCGAAACUGGCAGGCUAGAGUACUGGAGAGGUUGGUGGAAUUCUCGGUGUAGAGGUGAAAUUUCGUUAGAUAUCGAGAGGAACACCGGUGGCGAAGGCGGCCAACUGGACAGAUACUGACGCUGAGACACGAAAGCGUGGGGAGCAAACA